rnacentral:rRNA from 1 species
UACGUAGGGGGCUAGCGUUGUCCGGAAUCAUUGGGCGUAAAGAGCGUGUAGGCGGUCCGGUAAGUCCGCUGUGAAAGUCGGGGGCUCAACCCUCGAAUGCCGGUGGAUACUGUCGGGCUAGAGUACGGAAGAGGCGAGUGGAAUUCCUGGUGUAGCGGUGAAAUGCGCAGAUAUCAGGAGGAACACCUAUUGCGAAGGCAGCUCGCUGGGACGUAACUGACGCUGAGACGCGAAAGCGUGGGGAGCGAACAGG